AUGCUUGGGGUUUACAAGGUGUGAAUGCAUAUUGGGGAUCUUAGCUUUUCUGUUAGUUCAAGAAGGUCAAAACCACAGGUGGCGGCUGUUAGGUGUGAGAUCUCCUUUUCUUCCCUUUGAUUCUCUGGUUACGCUACGAUUAUUCUCAAGACAGGGGGCCAUUUAUAGGUUCAAUGAUGUUGGUUAGGGUUGGUUUGAUCUUUUAGGAAUGUUCUUUUUGAGGAUAAAGUGGUGAAGAGUGGGUCGAUAUGGAAGUUAUUGAGGAGUUCCUCGGGUGUAAUCGGUUCGGUUCGAUAUGGAAGAUCAUGCUUCAAUAGCUACCGAUUUGCCGGUCAAACAGGCCAGGGAUAUUGUGAACUGGCUCGCUUCAGGUCAAGAGGUUCAAAGACUAUGUGCAUUAACAGUCAAGUCCCUUGAUACACUCUUAUCCAAUACUCCUAAACCUCUUGCAAAAGGUUUGUAACAGUGACAUGAAUUGAACACACUUGGACACCAUCUUCCAAUUAUCAAAUCCGCCUUGAAAAGCUUAUACAGGAGGUGUUGAUAUUGCAGCAUUUUACAAUACACCACCAGCAAGCAAAAAAGAGAAAUAAACAAGGCAAUUAUGCUUGCACAAGAGGAAGCGCAAAAGGCUUGCAACGAAGAUGCAGUGGAGGGCCUAAUAGGAGUAUGCCCCCGAGAACUAUUUGAUGCCUCCAGGCCCGUAUGGUGGUGGCAUGUCGUGGUAGAGCUGAGUUAAAGAGGAAGCAGGAUUUUGAGAAACACCCACAGUCCAUGAUGAAGUAUGAUUGCAAUAAAAAUCAUUACCAUAUGGUUCCCAGUAUCCCUCUCCUGGACCGUUUUACUUCAUUGGCCCUUUGAGGAAGUCGACCCGUUGAAGAAACAGAUAGAAAGACCAGGACCGUUUUACUUCGUUGGCCCGACCCGUUGAUGAAACGGAUAGAAAGGCCAGGACCGUUUUACUUCGUUAGCUCUUUGAGGAAAUCGAGAGUUUGAGAUAUUUGUGUUAAGCCACCCGCGAAACUCGCGGGAUCUUAGGCUAGCGUUGGAAUAUAUUCAAAUUACAAUUUCAUCAUGUGUCAACUAAACAUUAAAUUUCAAUAGAAGUCAUUUCAAUUC
rnacentral:lncRNA from 1 species